rnacentral:tRNA from 1 species
AUAUAGGCAUGGGUAAAAGGACUGAAAAUCCUUGUGUCGCUGGUUCGAUCCCAGCUGAUACCACCA